UACGAAGGGGGCUAGCGUUGCUCGGAAUGACUGGGCGUAAAGGGCUCGUAGGUGGCCAACUAAGUCAGACGUGAAAUCCCUCAGCUUAACUGGGGAACUGCGUCUGAUACUGGAUGGCUUGAGUUUGGGAGAGGGAUGCGGAAUUCCAGGUGUAGCGGUGAAAUGCGUAGAUAUCUGGAGGAACACCGGUGGCGAAGGCGGCAUCCUGGACCAACACUGACACUGAGGAGCGAAAGCCAGGGGAGCAAACGGG
rnacentral:rRNA from 1 species